rnacentral:rRNA from 1 species
AUACGGAAGGUCCGGGCGUUAUCCGGAUUUAUUGGGUUUAAAGGGAGCGCAGGCGGAGAUGCAAGCGUGACGUCAAAUUUCGGGGCUCAACCCCGUCUCGCGUCGCGAACUGCGUCCCUUGGUUGCGGGAAGGGGAGGCGGAACUCGUGGUGUAGCGGUGAAAUGCAUAGAUAUCACGAAGAACUCCGAUCGCGAAGGCAGCCUUCCGGCCCGUCGACGACGCUCAUGCUCGAAGGUGCGGGUAUCAAACAGGAUUAGAUACCCUGGUAGUCCGCACAGUAAACGAUGGACACCCGCGGUUUGGCCUGUAUGGCUGAGCCGCCAAGCGAAAGCGUUAAGUGUCCCACCUGGGGAGUACGCCGGCAACGGUGAAACUCAAAGGAAUUGACGGGG